GACGAACGCUGGCGUCGUGCCUAAUACAUGCAAGUAGAACGCUGAAGGAGGAGCUUGCUUCUCUGGAUGAGUUGCGAACGGGUGAGUAACGCGUAGGUAACCUGCCUGGUAGCGGGGGAUAACUAUUGGAAACGAUAGCUAAUACCGCAUAAUAGCAGUUGUUGCAUGACAACUGUUUGAAAGGUGCAAUUGCACCACUACCAGAUGGACCUGCGUUGUAUUAGCUAGUUGGUGGGGUAACGGCUCACCAAGGCGACGAUACAUAGCCGACCUGAGAGGGUGAUCGGCCACACUGGGACUGAGACACGGCCCAGACUCCUACGGGAGGCAGCAGUAGGGAAUCUUCGGCAAUGGACGGAAGUCUGACCGAGCAACGCCGCGUGAGUGAAGAAGGUUUUCGGAUCGUAAAGCUCUGUUGUAAGAGAAGGACGAGUGUGAGAGUGGAAAGUUCACACUGUGACGGUAUCUUACCAGAAAGGGACGGCUAACUACGUG
rnacentral:rRNA from 1 species